GCCGCCGCUGUUCAUCUGAGCGCUGAGACGCCGCCGCUGCUAUUCAUCUGAGCGGUAAGACGCCGCCGGUGCAACCGCCCACUGCAUCUUCUCCCCCACCCGGCCACCCCCGACGCCGACUCCUGCGGCGGCUGGCAUCUCCCGCAUCUCCUCCCUCGCCUUCGCACUGACCGCCGACCGUCGCGCCGUCGCUGGACUCGCUGCACGCAAGGAAGGAGAGGAUCGAGGAGGACAUGGACCCGCCGUCGCCCAUCCGUCCGCCCAGCGCCCACCCACCUUCGAUUCUAGCUUCGAGCUUUCGACAUCAUCCCAACUCUCCACAUUGGCAACUCAGCGGGCGACCGUCUGUCCACCUCGGCAUCUCGGCGUCGUCGUCUCCACCGAGACAAUUUAACUCUUCAAAAAUGGAGAUAUUAUAAUGACGCGAAUGAUUGUUGGGUCCACCAGAAUUUUCAGGAGGUGAUAGAAGUUGUGGUUAAUACCAACAAUCAAAUGGAAUAUGCAGACUAGACAAUUCUGUGGCAGAGGAAGCUAAUAUUCCUUUAAAAAUGUGGAAGAUACUAAUGGAUAUGAAAGUAGAUUUGAUAUGCAAGAUGGUGUAUCUGUAGUACUCUGUACUAAGGUUGAAAACUUGUUUAUGUAAAUUUGCGUUCAAAUCUGUUUUUGUUGUUAAU